rnacentral:rRNA from 1 species
GGUGAACGCUGGCGGCGUGCUUAAGACAUGCAAGUCGAACGGCAGUCUUCGGACUGUAGUGGCGCACGGGUGAGUAACGCGUAACUGACCUACCCCAAAGUCGCGGAUAACGAUUCGAAAGAAUCGCUCAUACGUGAUGCUCUGUCAGAUCGUGUUCUUCCAGUAAAGAUUGAUUGCUUUGGGAUGGGGUUGCGUGCCAUCGGCUAGUUGGUGGGGUAAAGGGCCACCAAGGCGACGACGGAUAGCCGGCCCGAGAGGGUGGCCGGCCACAGGGGCACUGAGACACGGGUCCCACUCCUACGGGAGGCAGCAGUUAGGAAUCUUCCACAAUGGGCGAAAGCCUGAUGGAGCGACGCCGCGUGAGGGAUGAAGGUCUUCGGAUCGUAAACCUCUGAAUCAGGGACGAAAGACACUUCGGUGGGAUGACGGUACCUGAGUAAUAGCACCGGCUAACUCCGUGCCAGCCGCCGCGGUAACAC